rnacentral:rRNA from 1 species
GACGAACGCUGGCGGCGUGCCUAACACAUGCAAGUCGAACGGAGAUACUUUUGAAGCUUGCGAUAGAGUAUCUUAGUGGCGGACGGGUGAGUAACGCGUGGGUAAUCUGCCCAUAAGUGGGGAACAACAGUUGGAAACGGCUGCUAAUACCGCAUAAUCUGCCUUAGGGCAGGAAAGGUUGGCCUCUGAAUAUGCUGCCGCUUAUGGAUGAGCCCG